UAAUUAAUGUUAAGUUUGGUGAUUAAAACUUAAUAAGAGUGAAAAAAAAAAGGUGUCAAAAGCCAAUUUGGACUUUUCUUCUUAUGAAACCUUUAUUAGCCUUUAAUAAAAAAAAAAUUAAAAAAUAAUGAAAUGAUCAUAUAUGGCAAAGGGUGGCCGGCCAUGUGGUGUUUUAGAGUGGUGUGAACCCAAUUUUAUAAAGUUUAACUCCCAUUUUAAUUAAGAAGUCAAGUGGGCAAGUGGGUAGAAAAGCACUCAAGUGUUUUGUGAUAUUUUGAAGAGUUGUGUGAGCCAUUCUAACCCCCAAAUCCGACCACUCUCCCUCUCUCAUUCACUCUCAUCUGAUUUUUUAAGACCAUUCAAAGUGUUCUCUCAAUAUUCAACCUCAAGAACACCAAGGAAAACUUGGAGGCUAAGUCUUGGUCUAGGAAGUAUUUUCCCUAAGUUUGUUAGGGUUUUUGAAAGGUUUUGAAGGAGUCAAAGCUUAUAGGAAGGUCCAAACCUUAAGCAAGAACACCAAAGAGUAUUGGCUAAGCGUAACUGGACUGAACGUUGGAGGGUGAAAACUUGCUGAGCGCUAAGGACUCCAAG